rnacentral:rRNA from 1 species
AGUGAACGCUGGCGGUAGGCCUAACACAUGCAAGUCGAACGGCAGCACAGUAAGAGCUUGCUCUUACGGGUGGCGAGUGGCGGACGGGUGAGGAAUACAUCGGAAUCUACUUUUUCGUGGGGGAUAACGUAGGGAAACUUACGCUAAUACCGCAUACGACCUACGGGUGAAAGCAGGGGAUCUUCGGACCUUGCGCGAUUGAAUGAGCCGAUGUCGGAUUAGCUAGUUGGCGGGGUAACGGCCCACCAAGGCGACGAUCCGUAGCUGGUCUGAGAGGAUGAUCAGCCACACUGGAACUGAGACACGGUCCAGACUCCUACGGGAGGCAGCAGUGGGGAAUAUUGGACAAUGGGCGCAAGCCUGAUCCAGCCAUACCGCGUGGGUGAAGAAGGCCUUCGGGUUGUAAAGCCCUUUUGUUGGGAAAGAAAGGCAGCAGGUUAAUACCCCGCUGUUCUGACGGUACCCAAAGAAUAAGCACCGGCUAACUUCGU